UGUUGCGUAGUGUUGCUCUUGUUAAUAGGAAGAGUGCGAUUUGGAAAGCGAUUCGAAGAUGUUUUUUGAUGGUAGAGACUAUCGACCCCUGCCCCAUCCUCCGGGGGAGGGAUUGGAUGUGGACGUGCGAAGAUUCGUCAGUCCAUACAAUUUGGAUUAUUUUAAAUUUCGAGGCAGCAAGAUGAAGAAAGGCCUCUCGAAGCAGUUCGAACCCUCGACCGGUGCUUUCGAAGGUUUGGGCGUGUUUGAAAAUAACAUCAAGCCGGCUUAUAGACAAGCUGUGAUGAAGGUUCGACCAAUCUGUCAGACGGCCUGCCAGCGUUUUAACAGUGAGAGAUUGGUCGAAGAUGUGGAGGAUGAAGGAGUGAACAAUAGGGAAAGCGCGGUUCCUCCACGAAACAUCGAAGCAGACGAAGACCCGGCGGAGCACGACGACUGCGUGCAAGAUAAUCCUGGCCAUUACAGGGAUAGAAAUACAUUGAAGAAAGUCGGGUCGUUCUUUAAAAGCAUGUGGAAACCCGUUAAGAGAUCCGUGCAGAAGGUGUGUAAAAUGGCAAAAAGUGGAGAAUGCGAGUACGUUCGGUUCGAGUAAAGAUCUCUUGGCUUCCAUCCGUCCAUCGACAAUAAGAUUCCGCUCUGUGAUUUGCCAUAAAUUAUUUGCUGGAUUUGGGCCGAGUUGGCUUUGGAUAUGGUUUUUACUAAAAAUCAUCGAUGACUUCUUCUGAUUUUGACAUCCCGAUUGCGUCAAUACCAAUUUCGAUUAUGACUUCCCAAUUUUGACUUUGUCCCGGCUGUGUCUCCUCAUUCUUGCCUUGUAGUGAAUUAUCAUUUCCCAAAUUGGUCUACACGAACUUGGACUCUCAAUUUAUGUCUACCUCACGAAUCUGGACUCUCCCGAAUUACGACAUCCCCGAAUUUGACUCCUAAAUCGUGUCUGAACUCGAAUUUGGACUUUCCCGAAUUAAGUCUACCCCGAAUUUGACUCCAGAAUCCUGUAUAUAUUGGAAUUUGGACUCUUCCGGCUUGUGUCUGUGCUCAAAUUUGACUCCCAAUUUCUGUCAUCCCUGGAACUUGGACUCUCCUGGAUUGUGUUUUUACUCGUAUUUAAUUUUCUCAAAUCGUGUCCAUUGUUUGUGACGUCUAAAUUCAACGAAAGUCCGUUGAACGUGAAAAACGAAGUUUUGAUACACGAAACAGAAGAAGUCUUUGUAAAAUUCUUUGCGAAGAACGAAAGUUUCCGGAUAAAAAUCGCUUUAAACGAAACGCUUUACGAAACCGCAAGUGGAAUUAUUAAUAGGAAAUUACAAAUUUAAAUAAAUGUCGUUAAGUAUUGUUUGUCGCUUUCAGGAUAUGAAGUUUUGUGAUAAAAAUGCAUUUGGAGAACUCAAAAACCUGAAACAGUUGCUGAAUAAUUUUAUUCAAUUAAAGUCAUAGAAGAAGACAUUUUUUGCAAUA